UCAUCCCCUCUGACUUUUUCUCCAAAGCCAUAUCCAGUUCCUGUCGAACCAACAGAUCUUCCACUCUUGUCCUCCACAUCGAGAAGUUUUUCUUCCUAUCAAAUUUCUCAAAAUCAAUCUUUGGUCAGCUGCUCAUGAUGUUUCAACACCACAACCAUAAACAAUGCAGAUCUGAUUGAGAAAAAAAUUACUUUGAUAGGAAACUUCAGAUCUUGACGUCUCAUUCUUUCUCCACGCUCC
rnacentral:lncRNA from 1 species